rnacentral:rRNA from 1 species
ACGCACGCUGGCGGCGUGCUUCACACAUGCAAGUCGAACGGAAAGGCCCUGCUUUUGUGGGGUGCUCGAGUGGCGAACGGGUGAGUAACACGUGAGUAACCUGCCCUUGACUUUGGGAUAACUUCAGGAAACUGGGGCUAAUACCGGAUAGGAGCUCCUGCUGCAUGGUGGGGGUUGGAAAGUUUCGGCGGUUGGGGAUGGACUCGCGGCUUAUCAGCUUGUUGGUGGGGUAGUGGCUUACCAAGGCUUUGACGGGUAGCCGGCCUGAGAGGGUGACCGGCCACAUUGGGACUGAGAUACGGCCCAGACUCCUACGGGAGGCAGCAGUGGGGAAUAUUGCACAAUGGGCGGAAGCCUGAUGCAGCAACGCCGCGUGCGGGAUGACGGCCUUCGGGUUGUAAACCGCUUUCGCCUGUGACGAGGCGUGAGUGACGGUAAUGGGUAAAGAAGCACCGGCUAACUACGUG